rnacentral:lncRNA from 1 species
UGAGCUUAGGAGUUAAAGUGAAGCCUAAGUUGGGAUUAAUCUUUAUCUAAGGUAAGGCGGUUAGUUUUUAUCAUAAUCAUUUGGUUAAUUCUUUUUCUCUUGAUUCUAUGCAUAAUUGAUUAUGAGAAUAAGUGAUUAUCAUGUACCCAAUCUUUGAAAUUCGUGCUUAUGUUGUAGAGAUAUGUUUGGAUAUGUUAAUUUGAUGUUAAAUGAAUGGUUGAUGAUGAAAUUGCAAGUUCAUGAUGUAUGAAAAUGGAUAGUUUGUAAAUUAUGCUCAAUUGGUGAAUUAUGCAUGGUUGUUGAUGAAUUGUGAUAUGUUUCAUGAUCAAUAGAUGUUGAUGUUGUUAAGUGAUGUUAUGGAUGCUAAUUCAUGGCUUGGGUAUGCAUGAUUCAUAAUUUUGUUGUUGUGAAGUAAGUUGUUGUUGUUAGUUUGGUGAAAAUGGAUACUUAUGUGUUUUGCUCAAUUGUUGGAUUGGGAUAUUGUGUUGUUGAAUUCAUGUCUACAUGAAGUGUUGUUGAAGUAGAUAUGUUGUUGUUCUUGAAUGAUAUCAUGAGUAUUCCAUUUUAUGAAAUAAGUUGUUUGUAUUGGUGAAGUUGUGCUAGAUGUUCAAGUGAAGAACCCAAAGUGAAAUUUGAUAUACAAAGUUGUUGACUGAGUUGUCUAUGUGGUUGGAUGAGUUAAACUUGAUGGAAUUUCUGUUUUUAUGUUAUGGUUACGUUAGUCGAGUCGUUUUGGAAGAAAACGGGAGUUUCGUUUGAAAAUUCAUUUGUUAACCGAUUUGGAAAACGAGUGUUUGUGUGAGGUUUGUAAAAUGAAUUUGAGGUUGUUGAAACUGGGAUUUUUCUGUGCAUUAUGAUAGUGCUAAGUGUUAGGAGCAUGUAGGCGAAAACGGCAUCGAAAACGAAUUAACGGUUUGAUUUUUAUGCGCGAAAACGUAGAAGUUGAAAAUCUGAUGCUGUCUGUCAAACCACCAUCGUGCCACGAUUCAGGGCCAACGUGCCACGAUUUUGACCAGGUUUUCAGCCUGUCUGAUUCUGGAAAAAUCGUGCCACGAUGGGAAACCAACGUGCCACGAUGCUGUUUGACCAAAAACCUCAAAAAUGCAAUUUUCUUCGCUCCAAUUGGUUCCAAACUUCUUCCUAAGUGUAGGGACUUUAUCCUAAUCAUCUAGGGAUGUUUUUAUGGAAGAAAUAGAUUUGUAUUAAUGGCUUAGUGAGCCCUUGUGUUUUCUGGACUUUAAUGAAACAUUUAUGAUAUGAAUCUUUGCAAAACUUGAAUUUAAGUGAGUUGGCCUAUGAAACGUUGAUGUAUACACUACUGCACUCAUAUGUGACUUGUGUAUACACAUGGUGGAGGUCCUAGAGUUUAUUUAUUUGGUUUUAGUCCAUUUGUUCUAAUCAUGUAAAAGGUAAUAUUUCGGGUGGGAAUGUGAAAAGUGAUGAAAUGGGGUUUUUCAUACGAACUUAAGUUGUUCUUGGAUUAAUGUUUAAUGGUCCGGAGGCAACUUAAAUUCAUGAAUACAUGAUUGGUUAAGGUUGUUUGAGAACUCUCAACUUGGCUAUGGUGUUUUGUCUUGGGAAUUGUCAAUGUUGGCCGCUUGUCACUUGACACGGUCUUGGUCAGAAAUGUUUCUUGAUCUAAUUGUCUUAUGAAUUGUGGUGACCAUUCUUUUAUGACUAAGUGAAGUUGUAUGAAUGAGUGAUUAUAUUUUGGAUAUGAUAUUUAUUAUGAGAUAUUGUUUUCCCUAUUACUUGGAAUAUGAUAAUGCUUGAAUUGGUGAAACUAUAUGUGAUAGUUGAUGUGGAACAACAUUGUUGAUUAUUGAUAAUCAUGUUGAUGUAUGAUGAAUGGUUAUAUGUUGGAUAUGAUAAUUGUCAUGAGAUGUUGUAUGUUCUCUUACUUGGAAUAUGAGAAUUGUUUGGAAUAGUGAAGCUAUAUGAUAUAGUUAAUGUUGAAUGAUGUUGUUGAUUAUUGAUAAUCAUGUUGGAGUGUGAUGGUGAAUACUAUGAUUUAUUUUUGUAUGGGCAUGUUUUCUUGAUAAUGCAAAUGUUGUGGAGAUGAACAAUAUAAUUGGGUGUUGUCCUAUAUAUUGUGGAGAAAAUUGUGAUUGCUGUCGCAUUAUCGAGUCCUUAUACAUGUCCAUGCAUCAUAGUCGAGAUGAAAUGAUGUUUUAUUCAUUAUUGGGCUCCGGCCUAGCAGAGAUCUUUUGAGAUCUAGUUUUGGACUUCGGUCUAGCAGAGAUCUUUUGAGAUCUGGAUACGAUGUUUUAUUCGUUAUAGGGCUUCGGCCUGGCAGAGAUCUUUUGAGAUCUGGAUUUGGGUGACGACCUUUUUGGAAAUUUGGUACCACAUGCAUUUAUGUGUCAAUAAGUGCAUAUCAUGACAUGAGUCUUGUUUGAUAAAUGUGAUUGGUGAUGAAAUGAGAUGAAUGACUAUUCAUGAAUAUUUGUUAUUGGUGAUUGUGAAGGAAUAUUUGUGAAUUGAUAUUUGUUCCUGAUACAUGUGAUUGGUGAUUGUUCAUGAAAUAUGAUUAAUGAUUGUUCAUGGCUUAUGAUUGGUGAUUGUUCAUGAUGUAUAUGAUUGGUGAUUGUGUAUGAAUAACUGUGAAUUGAUAUUUGUUCAUGACACAUGUGAUUGGUGAUUAUUGAUGUGAGAUAUUGGGGUUUGAUGUAAGUAUUGAUGUGGGAAUAUUAUUAUUGAUCAAGUGCAUGAUGUUUAAAUUGAAAUAUUCAUGUUAUAUGUUAUUUGGAUUAUGAUAAUGUAAUACUUACCCCAGUGGAUCUGUUAUGGACCGCCUGCCUAUCUGUAUGGAUGGGUAGACGUUGUGCAGGAUUAGAUGCUUGGUGAGUUUUUGUGCUUGGUGGAUAUUGGGAGCUUCUCCGAUAUCGGUGUUUAGAUGUUUAGUCGGCUCUGAUCUAGGCUUCGUUGUGUCGGUCUAGAUUAGGUUAUCUUUGGAUUUUGUGAUGUUUGGAGAUUACCCGUUUGCUGGGAUUUUUGAGAUGUAUCUAUGUUGAUGUAAUUUAUUGAUUCAUAACAUGUAUACUUGGAUUUACUCUGGUUUAUAUUCCGCUGCGACUGUUGAGGUUUAUAUACAUGUUUAUUGGUUUUUGAA